CCCUUUCUCUUCCUGCAGAGAGCUGUGAAGAGCCGGACUUUUUCUGGUGUCGACGCAGCAAGGCUUGCAUAGAAAAACUUCUGUUAUGUGAUUUGGUAGAUGAUUGUGGUGAUCAUACUGAUGAGGUUGACUGUGUACCUGAGUUCCAAUGUAACUUUGAAAAUGGAAUCUGUAACUGGGAACAAGAUACAGAAGACGACGUUGAUUGGACCAGGAAGCACGGUCCAACUUCAACACUUAAUACAGGGCCAAUGAAGGCUCAUACCUUGGGCACAGCUAAAGGACACUAUCUCUACAUAGAAUCUUCGGAGCCACAGGUUUUCCAAAACAGAGCUACUUUCCUCAGCCCUGUCCUCAAUGCCACCGAUGCAGGGGGCUGCACCUUCAGCUUAUAUUACCACAUGUUUGGAAAGCAUAUUUAUAGGCUGGCCAUCUACCAGAGAGUUUGGAGUAACACAAGAGACAGCUGCUGUGGCAGAUAUUUGGGAAUCAAGGCAACAGAUGGAUGAGGCAACGCCUCAAUCUUUCCAGCAGGAAGCCUUUUCAGGCAAGACCUUCAUUUUCCAGGAUGCACUGUGUAGCUGUGUAUGUCUUGAAAUCUGAACAGUAUCUAUCUCUCUACUAUGAAAUAAAAGGCAAGUCUCAACUUAAGA